rnacentral:rRNA from 1 species
CGAGCGGUAGCACAGAGAGCUUGCUCUCGGGUGACGAGCGGCGGACGGGUGAGUAAUGUCUGGGAAACUGCCUGAUGGAGGGGGAUAACUACUGGAAACGGUAGCUAAUACCGCAUAACGUCGCAAGACCAAAGAGGGGGACCUUCGGGCCUCUUGCCAUCAGAUGUGCCCAGAUGGGAUUAGCUAGUAGGUGGGGUAACGGCUCACCUAGGCGACAAUCCCUAGCUGGUCUGAGAGGAUGACCAGCCACACUGGAACUGAGACACGGUCCAGACUCCUACGGGAGGCAGCAGUGGGGAAUAUUGCACAAUGGGCGCAAGCCUGAUGCAGCCAUGCCGCGUGUAUGAAAAAGGCCUUCGGGUUGUAAAGUACUUUCAGCGGGGAGGAAGGCGAUAAGGUUAAUAACCUUGUCGAUUGACGUUACCCGCAGAAAAAACACCGGCUAACUCCGUGCCAGCAGCCGCGGUAAUACGGAGGGUGCAAGCGUUAAUCGGAAUUACUGGGCGUAAAGCGCACGCAGGCGGUCUGUCAAGUCGGAUGUGAAAUCCCCGGGCUCAACCUGGGAACUGCAUUCUAAACUGGCAGGCUAGAGUCUUGUAGAGGGGGGUAGAAUUCCAGGUGUAGCGGUGAAAUGCGUAGAGAUCUGGAGGAAUACCGGUGGCGAAAGCGGCCCCCUGGA